GUGAACGCUGGCGGCGUGCUUAAGACAUGCAAGUCGAACGGCCUUCUUCGGAAGGCAGUGGCGCACGGGUGAGUAACGCGUAACUGACCUACCCUCAAGUCUGGAAUAACGGGUCGAAAGAUCCGCUAAUACUGGAUGUGCAGUGUCGCUGUGGCGACACUGUAAAGAUUGAUCGCUUGAGGAUGGGGUUGCGUUUCAUCAGCUGGUUGGUGGGGUAAAGGCCUACCAAGGCGACGACGAAUAGCCGGCCUGAGAGGGUGGCCGGCCACAGGGGCACUGAGACACGGGUCCCACUCCUACGGGAGGCAGCAGUUAGGAAUCUUCCACAAUGGGCGCAAGCCUGAUGGAGCGACGCCGCGUGAGGGAUGAAGGUUUUCGGAUCGUAAACCUCUGAAUCUGGGACGAAAGACGCGUCAAGCGGGAUGACGGUACCAGAGUAAUAGCACCGGCUAACUCCGU
rnacentral:rRNA from 1 species